UACGAAGGGGGCUAGCGUUGCUCGGAAUUACUGGGCGUAAAGGGAGCGUAGGCGGGUUAUCAAGUUGGGGGUGAAAGCCCGGGGCUCAACCUCGGAAUUGCCUUCAAAACUGAUAACCUGGAGUAUGGAAGAGGUAAGUGGAACUCCGAGUGUAGAGGUGAAAUUCGUAGAUAUUCGGAAGAACACCAGUGGCGAAGGCGACUUACUGGUCCGUUACUGACGCUGAGGCUCGAAAGCGUGGGGAGCAAACAGG
rnacentral:rRNA from 1 species